CAUCCUACGGGAGGCAGCAGUGGGGAAUUUUGGACAAUGGGGGCAACCCUGAUCCAGCAAUGCCGCGUGAGUGAAGAAGGCCUUCGGGUUGUAAAGCUCUUUUGUCAGGGAAGAAACGGUAGUAGCGAAUAACUAUUACUAAUGACGGUACCUGAAGAAUAAGCACCGGCUAACUACGUGCCAGCAGCCGCGGUAAUACGUAGGGUGCAAGCGUUAAUCGGAAUUACUGGGCGUAAAGCGUGCGCAGGCGGUUGUGUAAGUCAGAUGUGAAAUCCCCGGGCUCAACCUGGGAAUUGCAUUUGAGACUGCACGGCUAGAGUGUGUCAGAGGGGGGUAGAAUUCCACGUGUAGCAGUGAAAUGCGUAGAUAUGUGGAGGAAUACCGAUGGCGAAGGCAGCCCCCUGGGAUAACACUGACGCUCAUGCACGAAAGCGUGGGGAGCAAACAGGAUUAGAAACCCCAGUAGUCCCAUG
rnacentral:rRNA from 1 species